GUGGGUACGUGCCUUUCGGUUCGGAAUAACCCAGGGAAACUUGGGCUAAUACCGGAUACGCCCUCCGGGGGAAAGAUUUAUCGCCGAAAGAUCGGCCCGCGUCGGAUUAGCUAGUUGGUGGGGUAAUGGCCCACCAAGGCGACGAUCCGUAGCUGGUCUGAGAGGAUGACCAGCCACACUGGGACUGAGACACGGCCCAGACUCCUACGGGAGGCAGCAGUGGGGAAUAUUGCACAAUGGGCGAAAGCCUGAUGCAGCCAUGCCGCGUGGGUGAAGAAGGCCCUAGGGUUGUAAACCCCUUUCAGCGGGGAAGAUAAUGACGGUACCCGCAGAAGAAGUCCCGGCUAACUCCGUGCCAGCAGCCGCGGUAAUACGGAGGGGACUAGCGUUGUUCGGAAUUACUGGGCGUAAAGCGCACGUUGGCGGAUUUGUAAGUCAGGGGUGAAAUCCCGGGGCUCAACCUCGGAACUGCCUUUGAUACUGCAAAUCUCGAGUCCCGAAGAGGUGAGUGGAAUUCCUAGUGUAGAGGUGAAAUUCGUAGAUAUUAGGAAGAACACCAGUGGCGAAGGCGGCUCACUGGGGGCGGGUACUGACGCUGAGGUGCGAAAGCGUGGGGAGCAACAGGAUUAGAUACCCUGGUAGUCCCACGCCGUAAACUAUGGGUGCUAGCCCGUCGGUCGGCAUGCCGGUCGGUGGCGCAGCAAACGCAUUAGCACCCCGCCCUGGGGGAGUACGUCGCAGAUUAAACCUCAAAGGAAUUGACGGGGCCC
rnacentral:rRNA from 2 species